UGGAAAUCCUGUCGCUCUCAGCAUACUAAAAACAGUACUGUCAUUGCCUCCUCUUCUGUCGCCGCACACCAGUAGACCUCCUUUUCCGGCUGUUUCCCACAGCCCUCCAGUACUAGGCUGACUGACUUAUCUAAGACCCAGCCUGACUUGUUGCCUUGGUUAUCAGCCAAGCGUGUUUUAUCCACAUGGUUCAUCCUGCUGUUCGUGCUAUAUGAUCCGGUAGCAGCUAAUAUAGCUGAAACACGUCAUUAUCCAGUAAUAUAAUCCCCCGAUUGGUGCCUUCGGGCCAGAAGGGGGCAUAGGAGCCAGCAGGAGUGUGCCAGUACUCACUGAAUAUUUAUUUUCAUAAACGCAAACAUUGGUCAACCAGAUCUGUGGCAGUCGUCAUUUAAAAAUAAAUUGUUUCAUGAAAAGCCAAGAUGCGGCAGCAGUAUUUUGACUAGACGUGCUGUGCGCGCAGCGUUUUUGUACAGAUGGAGGCAUGCCUCUAGAGGAAGUGCAACUAAGCCAAACCCAGAAGCUGGCCAAGACCGUGAGAGGUAUUUGUGGCCUUUCCAGACAUAUAUUCUUACUAGCUGAGGUUAAAAGUAAUAAUUAAUCCAGGAAGGUCAGCGGCACUGACACGUUUCAUCAUCCAUGAGUGCACUGAAGUCGAUCAGAGGAUGGGGGAGAUUGUUGACCUUGAGAUGUACAGCAUAAUCUUUUAGAAGGCCAGGAGCCAUACCCAGACAUGCAGCACCACGAUACCGUCCAGCAGCAAGUGUGUUUGUUUCCCAUUGCAGAACUGAGAUGCUACUUCAACUGGUAGCCUAGGUGACCAUAAAUGCCAUUUCUUUUCUUGUUUUCCUGUUUUCCUUUGAGGCCGAGUCAGCCCUUUGAAAGUAGGUCUGCCCUGGGGGGGCAGGUUUGGCUUGGAUGCAGGCAGCUGAGGAGCCUUGCAGUAGAUAAGCGCUCCUGGAUGUCUGGACGGCCAUGACGAAGCAGAGGGUUACUGGAGGACCUCUCUGCACAGUCUGUCUGGGCUUCCAGCCGGGGUUUUCUUGGAGGACAACUCUAGGGCCUCUCUUAGGACCCAAAGCAGCAAUCUUCAGGCUGGGAGACUGGGACCUAGAGCAGACUGCGACACAGAGUCAAACAAAAAUGGUGAGGAGGAACAGAAAAGGGGGACAGCUGUUUCAGCAUCAGCACCAGGGAAAACGCAACAAAAAGAAACAGAUGUCAGGUCUUGGAAGGGGCUACACUGGGAUGCAGGAUCUGGGCACAUUUUCUAUGGCUGACAGAAAAAAAAACAGCUCAUUCUUAGUGUUGCUGAUAAGCCGCGGUGGCAGUGAAUGGAUGUGCCCGGUGCCCGACUUUGCCCCAGCCUAAGGCAUCCGGUGCCCAUCUCACAGAGCCCACACCUACUAUUCCACCUGCUUGCAGAUUGUCAAGGGCUAACAGUUCAGAGUCUGAGAUGCUUCAUUUAAUCCGGGCAUUGAAAACAUCAUCUCUGUUUGGCGUAGGGUAAUACGGAAUAUUACGCAAUAG